UACGGAGGAUGCGAGCGUUAUCCGGAUUUAUUGGGUUUAAAGGGUGCGUAGGCGGGAUGCCAAGUCAGCGGUAAAAAUGCGGUGCUCAACGCCGUCGAGCCGUUGAAACUGGCGUUCUUGAGUGGGCGAGAAGUAUGCGGAAUGCGUGGUGUAGCGGUGAAAUGCAUAGAUAUCACGCAGAACUCCGAUUGCGAAGGCAGCAUACCGGUGCACAACUGACGCUCAGGCACGAAAGCGUGGGUAUCGAACAGG
rnacentral:rRNA from 1 species